rnacentral:lncRNA from 10 species
UCUUUUGUAAUAAAAAAAAAAAGUCUUUAAAAAAAGAUUUACGGACAGGAUUGACAGAUUGAUAGCUCUUUCUCGAUUCCGUGGGUGGUGGUGCAUGGCCGUUCUUAGUUGGUGGAGCGAUUUGUCUGGUUAAUUCCGAUAACGAACGAGACUCUGGCAUGCUAACUAGUUACGCGACCCCCGAGCGGGUCUGCGCCUGCC